GACGAACGCUGGCGGCGUGCUUAACACAUGCAAGUCGAACGGUGAUGCUCCAGCUUGCUGGAGUGGAUCAGUGGCGAACGGGUGAGUAACACGUGAGCAACCUGCCCCAGACUCUGGAAUAAGCGCUGGAAACGGCGUCUAAUACUGGAUACGAAACUGGCCCGCAUGGGCAUGGUUUGGAAAGUUUUUCGGUUUGGGAUGGGCUCGCGGCCUAUCAGCUUGUUGGUGAGGUAAUGGCUCACCAAGGCGACGACGGGUAGCCGGCCUGAGUGGGCGACCGGCCACACUGGGACUGAGACACGGCCCAGACUCCUACGGGAGGCAGCAGUGGGGAAUAUUGCACAAUGGGCGAAAGCCUGAUGCAGCGACGCCGCGUGAGGGAUGACGGCCUUCGGGUUGUAAACCUCUUUCAGCAGGGAAGAAGCGAAAGUGACGGUACCUGCAGAAGAAGCACCGGCUAACUACGUG
rnacentral:rRNA from 1 species